rnacentral:lncRNA from 1 species
UUUACUUUUCAAGUGAGCAACAGACGGCUAAAGCCACUGUCCCCUCAAAAGCAGAAUUUAAUGAAUGUGAAUUUUCAUCAUAAAAUGGGCCAAGAACGAAAGGUGGGGGUGGUCACCAGCCCGGGCCCCUCCUCAGCUCACUUAACUUCCUCUGAUUCCCACGGGAGCGUUGCCAUUGGCCUGAAGGCAGCUCCAGUGUCCUCACACUGCCGAGCAGGGCCCCCAGCACGGCCAUUGUCGUGUCUCCUUCCUAAGCCGUGACGAGAGCACAGGACUCAUGAGGAUGCGACAGCGCGUCCUCAGUCUCUGACAGUGACCAGUGAAGGACACUGACGUGACCUGUGUGAACUUCAGUAACUGUGAGAGCAUCAGGGCCGAGCCUUCUCCGCAUGGGACAGUUUGGCCCAGCCUCUGCUUCCCAACCCCCCAGGCCACUCAGGACCUCAUUAAAAGGACCAGCCCCACUGUGACUCCUGCCGGUGGCCAGCUGCUCCCAUGGUUCCUGGAGUUGUCAGGAAGGGGUGUCGGCCUGUGUGUCCCAGGCUGCUGCAGCCCCAGGUGUCUGGGAGGGAAUGGGGCCUCAUGAGUCAGCCCCCAGCUCACCUCCAGGACAAGGCCAUUGCCUGACCCUGGCCAGUUCCCACCAGCUCCAUGUUGGCGGCAACCCUUCCCACCCAGCCCGUGAGCCCAGGCAUGGCUGUUGUGGCUGGGGAGGUGGAGUGAGGGGCUCAGACUCCAGCCCACCCGAAUCCCCAGCCCCACAGAGCCUGCACCGGGGACUCACAAGGCCCAUGAUGGGGCAGAGGCUCCAAGAGGCCGGGGACACACAAGGCCCAUGAUGGGGCAGAGGCUCCAAGAGGCCGGGGACACACAAGGCCCAUGAUGGGGCAGAGGCUCCAAGAGGCCUGCAGGGCUCAUGGAGGGUGGUUGGCUGAGGUGGGACACCUGCGGGGGGAACAGUUUAGGGAGGCCCCACCAGGGUCACUUAAUGACCAAACAGGAGAGGCUCAGCCUAGACUAUACAGUGACUCCGGGGAGCACCAGAAAAGACCCUGCCCAGGCCCCACCCAGACCACAACAUCCACCUCUCUGGUGGGGCCAGUGUGUGGUGGGGGCCUCCCGUUAGAGGUAGAUGUGUGCAUGCCUGGUGCAGGGGGCUGGUGCAGAGCAUUGGCAGGAGUGGCGCAGGAGGCCGGCGGCACCUGGAGCUCCGCAGCAUCCACCCAGGCCUCUCAGCCACACCGAGUUCCCCUUCCCGCAUGCCCCUAGGUCUGCACCCGCUGCCCCGGGCCGGCUACCUGCGCUCCCCUUCCUGGACGAGGACAAGGGCUGAGCAGAGCCACGAGAAGCAGCCCCUAGGCGACCCCGAGCGGCAGGCCACAGUCCUGGACACGUUUCUCACUGUGGAGAGGCCCCAGGAGGACUAGACCAUCUCCACCUGCCCCAGCUCCUGCAGGGAUGGGGUCCGAACACGAUGGCAGAUCUGGGCAGUGCUGACCCAGCAGACACACUUCACCCGCCCACGAGGCUCCAGCCGUCACCUCCUGACACACACCCUGGGGGCAGCUCUCUGCCAGCCCCGAGACCGGCCUUGUCUGCUGGGCACGGGUCUUCGCCUCACUUGGAGACCAGCCGGCUUUCCUGGGGGACACACGGGGCCCCCGGAUGCCUCUGGGAGCCCCAGCACAAGCACAGCCCAGUGGCCUUACGUCCAGCUCGUUCCUGGGCCCCGAGUCAGGAAGACAGCGUCACGGAGUCACUGCCAGGAACGUGCUGAGGAAUGGAGUGGCCCACGGCGGCCUUGGGGUGAAGGGGACCCAGGCCUGUGACAGCCACUCCAGGAACUCCUGGGGGUGCUCCAACCUCCGCGUUUUCCUGUGCUGCCAAGCUCAGAAGCCAGAGGCGGGUUUGGUAGUGGCUAAUGGGACAAUGUGCUGUCCAGCAAAGCACACAUGGAGAAGCGGCCCCAAAAUUCCCACCUUGAUUUCCAUCCUGCCCCUUCUUCUACUCCACGGAGGCGCUGUCUCACUAGGGUCCCCUCCCCAAGGCUCAGCUCUAAGACCUGCACCUGCUUCUCUUGGCCCCUGCGUGACAGACAAGUCCAUUCCCUCCUUAGCUCAGAACACCAAAUAUCACCAGACUGCCUAAGAGACUUGAUGACACCUCCCGGAAUGCUCUCGGGGUGGGGUUCACCUCUCCUUGUCCUGCACCCACUGCUAGGCCACAUUCUCGUUUCUGCUCACAUCCCAUUGCCCGGCUACAAGGCCUGCCCACGGCCCUUAAACUUGCUGGGCAGGUUUGGAGCCCAUGGGACCCCGUGGGUCUCUGUCCAGGAGCAGCAGAGGAGGCUGACAGGCCCUGCUCCCUCUGCUCUGGGGGUGUCUGGGAGCCCCAGCUCACACCCUCCCAAUGCUUAUAUGCUGAAGCUCACAGAAUGGGCUUCUUGCCUGACAGCAAGUCAAAGAAUGAGUUUAAUAUCAAAGUGUAAGCUUACUUUCCAUCCCCAAGCCAGCCUGCCCCCUGCCCCAUUUCCCAUGAGCACACUUCUGGGGAAGGAAAACAGGCUCCUGGCCUUCACUCUCAGCAGAGCUUUGGAGAUGCCCCAGGCAUGCCCUGAGCUCCUUCUGUGUACCUGCUCCCACUUCUGAGCCACCCGCUGCCCCUCCGCACUGCUGGCAAACCCAGUUCCUGCCUCAGCCAGGUCUCCUUCCCUGGUUUCCAGUCACACAGAGCCCAGCAGCUUUCUCUUUCAGUCCCAUAAGGGCAGCCUUGUGUCCCUGGCCACACUUCCACCCGCCAGGGUCUUCCUCCCCAUCUUUCCAUCCUUCCUGCUGAGCUUCCACAGAGCUCGUUUGCAAACAGGGGGAUUAAAGCAUCACUGCGCAUUCG